rnacentral:rRNA from 1 species
UACGUAGGGUGCGAGCGUUAAUCGGAAUUACUGGGCGUAUAGCGUGCGCAGGCGGUUUUGUAAGCCAGAUGUGAAAUCCCCGGGCUUAACCUGGGAAUGGCAUUUGGGACUGCAAGGCUCGAGUGCGGCAGAGGAGACUGGAAUUCCUGGUGUAGCAGUGAAAUGCGUAGAGAUGUGGAGGAACACCGAUGGCGAAGGCAGCCUCCUGGGCCAGCACUGACGCUCAUGCACGAAAGCGUGGGGAGCAAACAGG